rnacentral:rRNA from 1 species
UACAGAGGAGCCAAGCGUUGUCCGGAUUGACUGGGCGUAAAGCGCACGCAGGCGGAUGCGCGCGUGGGGUGUGAAAUCUGGCCGCUUAACGGCCAGGCGCCAUCCCAUACGGCGCGUCUGGAGUGAUGCAGAGGUCGGUGGAAUCGCCGGUGUAGUGGUGAAAUGCGUAGAUAUCGGGAGGAACACCAGUGGCGAAGGCGGCUUUCUGGCCCGGUACUGACGCUGAGGUGCGAAAGCGUGGGGAGCAAACAGG